UCAUGAAUUUCAUGAAAAAUUGUAACACGAUAAAAAAACAACUUUCCUUGCUUAAUCGAAUAAGCGAGAAGAUUAAAAAGGUAAACGUUCAAUUUCGAGUGGCGGGCGCAUGUUCAUUGAAAUGCCCCACGCGUCAAAUGUCCUGUGCUCUUUUGCGCGUAAUGCAACGUCAUAGAUUGCGUUAUCGAUAUGCGAUAUACGCAAGUCGGAUGUACACGUGUCACAAGAAGCUAACCACUGUUUUCCCAGUAUGUCACGGCUAUAAUCCGUAUGAAACGAUUUCGCUCGUCAUUGUCUCCCGUUCACUCAUUAUCUCGCAGCGCAUUAUCAUUCGUGAUAAUGUUCGUACGAUUGACGUCUGGUAAUAACUUGUUUUUUACGACCGUAUUAAGGAAAACGGCCACAUUAUCGAUGAAAAUCUCAUAAGAUAUAUUCAUUAUGUCUCAUUGCAUUGCUAGUCUUGUGCUGACGACAUAAUUUACAACGAUGCAAGUGAUGCCUUGGGCGUCGCAACGAACGCGCUUACUUGCUGUAUAAAUAUUUCUAGAUGCGUUGUUCCGUGACGCAAUUAAAAAAAAUUCGUCGUUACGUUUGAUAGAAAAUGUAAUUUCUCGUCCGAGCAAGUAGCAAAGUACGUGUCAAUUAUUUGAAUAUACCUAAUUCGUUAUCCCGAUUAUCGUCAUCCUACUGUUUCAGGGUUCACUCGUUUCCAGCGGGAACAGAAUGAACAAGCCGCGUGCGGCUGCCAAAUAGAGGAAUGUAUUACGAUCGAUAUGUUCUCCUCCUACUCCUCCUCUCUCUGGUUGUUGCAACUCGGGUCUGAGACGCGCGUCGGAGGAGAGCACGAUUGUGAAUCAUUGCCUCGAGUGGUUAAAAGUAGGGAGCUGUUAAGGAGGCGAAAGAAGACGAAGACCAAGACCAAGACGAAGACGAAGAAAGCAAGAAGGCCAAGCGGACGGUGGUUACAGUGGAGACGGAAGAGGAGGCCGAGAGGAUGCCAAACAGACGAGGCGUGCUGAGCACCACUGGCCGCUGCGAGGUGCUGCGUUUCCCCUUUAUGCAGCCAAUGGCGUAACCGCUUGCGGUAUCAACGUAGCGGCAGAAUCGACAACGGCUAUUAAGAACGUAAAUCUCGUCGCUUUUAGUGCGCCAUGAAAAGCAUGGAAAAGCGUCUACACGUCGUUCUGCAGAUUUACACCAUCUCGUGGUCGUGCCAUUACGACGUAAAACGACAUUGUUUCGUCGGGUAUCCUCCGUCGUAAAUGCUUAGGUGGCCGCAUAAUCAGCCCUAAAUGUAAAAGUCGUUUGCACAGGAUGCUUGUACAACGUAAUAUAUAAUAAAUAUGCGAGUCAAUUCUUCAGACGCUUAGAUACCGCGUGUCAUCGUCAAGCUGCAGGGCCGAUUUUUCUGCAAGCGUUGACCGUCCCUCGACGACCUGCGCUGAUGUACUCUGGAUAUUCCAAGUCUCUACAACCCUUCGUCAACCUCUCGCGCGAGAUUCGUUUCUUGCCAAGCGGAGGGAAAAGAAAUCGUACAUUUUACACAGGGGAACUUUCACGCGUUGCCGCGUCUAUCUUCUUCGCAAGAAAAUUCUUAAGCCAGUGCCGGAUGUUUUUCCUAACGGAAAACGCGUUUUCCUAACUCAUUUCAUAGCCCUGACUGCUCUAAUUUGGGUUUUUCAGUAAGAACUUUUCACUUUAUCAUCAUGACUAAAACUCUUUUGGAAAUAUUGUAUAAUAUAUGGAAGUAUCGUUGAUAUCAAGGCUUUCCUUCUCUAUUUCUACUCCGGUGCCAAAUGUGAAAAAGGCCGCAAAUUUCUACAUUAAAUUAGACUAACAUGCCGAGACGACUGCACUGUAAAUUAGUCGCCUUUCAUUCGCGCGCAAAUUUCAUGGUGCGAUCGUACAGCGACGAUUAAUACUUUCUUUCCUACUUUCCUUGCCGCGAGCGUCUAGCGAUACAUACAUUGCUGCCCGAGAGUUUCGCCAGGCGUUUUACGAACUUGCGUUUCCGUUAUCCCGACUUGGUACUGUACCACACAUAGGAAGAUACUGCUAAAAUUAUCGUAAGAAAUACCUAGCUUUAAUGUUCCAGGGCUCAAUAUAAUUGAGGAUGCAGACUAUAACUGGUAACAAGUUAUCGAGAGAAAGCUCAUCGAAAAUUUAUUUAUCUUGCAAUAUACGUCCAUCGAUAAGCGUAUUUACACACGCUAUUUUAUCAUUUAAUUUCUUUUCAAACAACACAUUCAGCCUAUUUUUCUUCUAAACGAAUCAACAACAAGACGCAAACAAAGCGGUAUUCUUAAAGUGAUGAUGCGUUGUUCAAGUUAAACUGGGACAUCACGCACGACGCUUACCCCCCUUUCGCGGCGCCAUCGGCGCGCAUUCGUCCGUUUGUCCGUUAAUCUCAGAGUGUCGCGACUACUUUGCAGAAAGGUUACCCUCCUUCCGUCGUCAUCGUCGUUGUCGUCAUUCCGUGCCGCCGGUGGUAGUGUCCUUCUUUCAUACCCUCGCGCGCUCCUGCUCGUUGGCGGUGGCGUGGGUGGUGUGCCGAGUGGCACAAGCGGGUGGAAGAGAGAGUACCACCAUGUUAUGCAGCCCCACCACCGACUCCGUCCUGACCAACCGGCUGUUUACUGUUUGGCCUCCCGGGAUAUCGAUCCCAGUGGCGUAAGAACCCGCAACCCAGGGCUACCCGACCAGAGCGAGAGAGCGAGAGAGCGCGAACGAAAGAGAGAGAGGGGGGAGAGAGAGAGAUAGAGAAAGAGAGAGAUAGAGAGAGAUCGGCACGCGGUGGAUUUCGGCCGCGGGCUGUUGGCAACCGGCUCUAGUGUUGAUACAGCACGAUUUCGACACCGCCUCCUUACCCUCGGACUCGGCACUCAGGUAAAUUGACUUCGACUGAGUAGCGGCCGUCUUUAAUUGAAGAUACGCUUCGGCGCGGUAUGGAUGAAGCGACACGGUAAAAUCGUGCGACAAUUCGAGAAGGUACGUGAUAACACAAGCAGCUUCCCUUGGAUGUGCGUCUAUCCGACACUGAUGGUUCUUCAUGAAGAAAUUACUGAAUGCAUCCUCGUGCAUCAUAGCAUGAUCAUUAAUCGCUCUCGUUUAGGAUGAGAAAGAAGACUUCUUCACGGUCAGAUAACCGAGAUGAUCGGCAGAGUGGAGUGGAUCAUAUUUGGAACGGAACCGGCAGCGGCCAUUGUUGUGCCAAGAGGGUUGAAGAAUGAAUCUUGCCACGAAUGGAUUUCGGGUAGGAUUAUGCCGUCCCACUUUCGAUUCCAUUCGAUGGUAGAGAAUUUAUCGAGUCAUCAACUUGGUACGACUCUCUCGCUCGUAGUAAUCUCCGGUCGCGUAAAUCGCGCAAUAUCAAUGAUGUCAUUAAAAUAUAAUUCUCAUGUUGCCGAUAAACAACCUCCGGCGAUUCCUUUCAUUUAACAUGUCUGUUAAAUAAUUCACCAUAUGCUUAUCUUAUCCGAGAAGUAUGUAGAGAAAAAUGUGCCAACAAUUGCUAUAAAAUUGUCGGACCGAUAAAGUAUUCGUUAAUUUCCAAGCAAUUAAUGAUGAAUCUUUUACUGCUAGAAUGCAAAUUUUUGGAAGAUCCAUCGCGCGUAAAAAGUAUCGGCCAGCAAAAAUUCAUGAAACGCACUCUGCACGUGCAGUACGCCUGACGGCAGCGCGUGUAUGACGAUGCAUGCAGCGCGAUGCACGUGUCUCGCGGCAUGUUGAACACGCGCUAUCGCCGAUCCAAUCUUUUCGACCCUUGAUUCGUACCGAUCGGUGUGCCGCUACUUAUCUGGUAUCCUCAAGUCGGUUACCUUAUGCGAGAGCAACGAUAUCGAUCUACAAUCGAUCACAUCGAGCUAUUAUUCGUCAAUCCGCAAACGUGUAAAUGAACGUUCUUUUCAAAACUAUAAAAUCUCUUGCAGGUUUAGCUUGAAAAUUGCUAUUUAUUAGAUCUUUAUCGGAAUCUUCGUCCGAGAGGGAAGGCGAAUAAAAUUUCUGCUUAAGAGAAAUCGACUCAGAAUUCGUUGAGUUGAGAAGAAACGCGGCACUGAGUACUAUCGCGUAUACCAAUCGCGUAUUGGACUGCUACUCAACCAUUGUCCGUCGUCCGGUGUCAUCCGUGAAGCGAGGAGGUAGGAGAAGAAGACAGGAGAGGACAGACGCUCGCUGUUCGAUGCACGCGCGAGAGAGCCGCGUGUAACGAUCACGUGAUGUUGCAGUGACUGCACAGCGACCGCGCAAUGCGCGAGCGCAUUUAUUAUGCAUGUACACCCGCAUAUAUCACGGUGAUACACAUUAAAGCUACAUACUGCACACAUACACGUACACAUACUCGCUUUCUGCCGACUUCUCUCCCCAACGACGCAGUCGCGUUUCAUAAUAAGAAAGCGCGCGUGCAUGGUCUCUGUCCGUAUGAACAGAAGUGUUUGGAGACCUUCGAACAAUUGAUACUUGUCUUUCGAAAACUUUGGUAAAUAUUAAUUAAUAAUACUGUUAAACAUUUAGCAAAAUCUGUUUGAAUAGUGGAUAUGUUGGUCCCAACGUAAACAAGGUCUUCGAAAUGAAAAUUAAUCGUGAUGACGGGUCCGAUGCAAAAUAUUGUUUUAAUAUUAAUGUCAUUAGCGUAGGACGAUGAGCAAUUUAGUUGCUGUCGUCCAGUAAGUUUAAAAGAAUUACCGUUUAAUCGGUUAUCGCAUACAACGGAGAUACGCAAGAGAAUAACGAGAGAGUACGAGAGAGAAUUGAAGUGACAAAGAGGAGACAACGUGGAAACAACAGGAAGAAACGAAAUGAGGGAACGAGUGCGUUUUGAAAUUUUUGCAACUGUUACGAGAGGACUGCCUUGGGCAAUCCUGGCAUGGUUAUUCGCCGGGAAUACAAACACGCCUUUCCCCCAGUUGUACAUGCUAGCGAACGAGCGAGUGCGAUCCGCCUGACGCAUCCGCGAUACAAACGAUGCGAUUGCUUUAUGAUCGAUCCUGGUAUGAAUCACGAUUUCAUGAAUUCCGACUGUUAAUAAGGAUAGUUCAUCUCGCACUCGUAACACUGUAAUUGGAAUUUGUAAUAAGACAACACACACACGGAUUGUAACCCGUAAUUUUUUCUCUCAGCACCGGAGCUAUUUUACAAUUGCAAAAUCGUUCGCGCGUAUUAAACGCGGCGCAGUCAGGGGUUACGCGGCCACGUUUCCCACUUAUCUCAUUUUCUGCACAUUUUCUGGUCGUGACAGUGGUCUACUCUCAUGAUGACGCGGUAACCAGAGAGAUUUCUCUCCAGAUGUUCCAAAAUAUUUUUUAUAUUAUGCAAUUCUGUAUCUUAAAAACAGUAAAUAAAUUACAUUCAUGAUGCCU
rnacentral:lncRNA from 1 species